rnacentral:rRNA from 1 species
UACGUAGGGUGCAAGCGUUAUCCGGAAUUAUUGGGCGUAAAGAGCUCGUAGGCGGUUUGUCGCGUCUGCUGUGAAAACUGGAGGCUCAACCUCCAGCCUGCAGUGGGUACGGGCAAACUAGAGUGCGGUAGGGGAGAUUGGAAUUCCUGGUGUAACGGUGAAAUGCGCAGAUAUCAGGAGGAACACCAAUGGCGAAGGCAGCACUCUGGGACGGUACUGACGCUGAGACGCGAAAGCGUGGGGAGCAAACAGG